CUAAGAACAGAUGCCUAUUUGGUACCAGGAGAAAAUGACUGUAAGCAACUUUUACUCUUACUAAAACAUUUGAAAAUGUUGUUGAGUAUUAAUAUGUAACAUUGCAUCUGUUCGGCUAUUUUGCGCCCUGUUUCAAUCCAGGGCGAAGCGCAUCCGUUUUUGCGGCGCUUCUAAUUUUGGAUUUACGGUGCUUUACAAGAAACAGCCCAAAAUCCAUUGGUCCUUCAAACGGUGACGCACUUCACUCGGAAAUGGUCAACUGUUUUGUGAGGUUUGUGUAAACACUAUUGAUGCGCGCUCGGCAUUCACCAAAGGAAAGCACCAGAUCGCACGCGACUCGCCAAACGAGCACCAUCUGCCCGCGCGAGAACCACACAAGCGCUUCAUUCGACACUUAAGCGACUGUAAUGUCUACAUCGGUGGAUAUCCACGCGCAGCUGGCGUCGAUCCUCGAGCGCUUCGCCAAAUGCGCGCUGCUGGAGAUGAGCCGCGCGGUGGAGCUGGAGAUGACGCGCCGCCAGAUGGAGACGGAGACGCUGCUGGUCAAGCUCCAGUUCACCGAGAGCGAGCUGCGGUCAGCGCGACAGAGCCAAGCGAACCUGCGCUCCGUGGGAAUACAAGUCAGCAACAGCGGCCAGAGAGAGGUGAACCUCAACCUUGUGAAGUUCAAUGAAAAUCAUGACGGAGAAACGCAGACAGAGACGUACACAGACGAUUCUUCAGCACAGACAUUCACAUUGAAUGAAGAUGGAAUCAAAUCCAUUCAGAUCAAAGAGGAGCACAUGGAGGAAGGACAGUGGGACAGCGGACCGAGUAAAAGACACGCACAUUCCUAA
ensembl:lncRNA